UACGGAAGGGGCGAGCGUUAUUCGGAAUUAUUGGGCGUAAAGGGCGCGUAGGCGGCCCGGUAAGUCAAAGGUGAAAUCCCUCGGCUCAACUGAGGAACUGCCUUUGAAACUGUCGGGCUUGAGGCCGGGAGGGGGUAGCGGAAUUCCCAGUGUAGCGGUGAAAUGCGUAGAUAUUGGGAGGAACACCAGUGGCGAAGGCGGCUACCUGGACCGGUUCUGACGCUGAUGCGCGAAAGCGUGGGUAGCAAACAGG
rnacentral:rRNA from 1 species